rnacentral:rRNA from 1 species
CAGCCGCCGCGGGAAUACGUAGGGUGCAAGCGUUAAUCGGAAUUACUGGGCGUAAAGCGUGCGCAGGCGGUUAUAUAAGUCAGAUGUGAAAUCCCCGGGCUCAACCUGGGAACUGCAUUUGAGACUGUAUGGCUAGAGUGUGUCAGAGGGGGGUAGAAUUCCACGUGUAGCAGUGAAAUGCGUAGAUAUGUGGAGGAAUACCGAUGGCGAAGGCAGCCCCCUGGGAUAACACUGACGCUCAUGCACGAAAGCGUGGGGAGCAAACAGGAUUAGAUACCCCCGUAGUCCCUGUCUCUUAUAA